UCGUAUCACAACGAGGCGCAAAGGCUGUCGCUGACGAAAGUCGUGCACGUCUUGGUGUCCUUUACAAUCCAUCUUACCCCUUGUGCAUCAUCGCGUGGGUCCUCCCUUUGCCGGGAGGGCCUGCGUUUUUAUAUAAAACUUGACACAAUGUAGAAUGUUUUCUUUUUUUGCAAUUAUAUGCAAUCAAUA
rnacentral:misc_RNA from 1 species